UACAGAGGGUGCAAGCGUUGUUCGGAAUCAUUGGGCGUGAAGGGCGCGUAGGCGGUUCGGUAAGUCAGGUGUGAAAGCCCAGGGCUCAACCUUGGAAGUGCAUUUGAAACUGCUGAACUAGAAUCUCGGAGAGGGUGGUGGAAUUCCCAGUGUAGAGGUGAAAUUCGUAGAUAUUGGGAGGAACACCGGUGGCGAAGGCGACCACCUGGACGAAGAUUGACGCUGAGGCGCGAAAGCGUGGGGAGCAAACAGG
rnacentral:rRNA from 1 species